UGUUCAGGGCGGGGUGAAAGUCCCCACUGGCGGUAAGGGUGCGUGCCCAAGUCCGCGAGCCUCAUGUGCGAGGUUGACCCGGUGAGAAUCCGGGACCAACGGUAUAGUCCGGAUGAAAGAACG
rnacentral:ncRNA from 1 species